rnacentral:tRNA from 1 species
AGUAAUGAAGUAAUAAAAUUACAUUUAGUUUCGACCUAAAAUUAGGGUUAAAUUUACACCCCUUACUU